rnacentral:rRNA from 1 species
AUGCCGCGUGUGUGAAGAAGGCCUGAGGGUUGUAAAGCACUUUCAGUGGGGAGGAGGAUAGCAUGGUUAAGAGCUGAGCUAUUGGACGUUACCUACAGAAGAAGCACCGGCUAACUCCGUGCCAGCAGCCGCGGUAAUACGGAGGGUGCGAGCGUUAAUCGGAAUUACUGGGCGUAAAGGGUGCGUAGGUGGUUAAAUAAGUUAGAUGUAAAAACCCUGGGCUUAACCUAGGACUGAGAUUUAAUACUGUUUAACUAGAGUAUGGGAGAGGGUAGUGGAAUUUCCGGUGUAGCGGUGAAAUGCGUAGAGAUCGGAAGGAACACCAGUGGCGAAGGCGGCUACCUGGCCUAAUACUGACACUGAGGCACGAAAGCGUGGGGAGCAAACAGGAUUAGAUACCCUGGUAGUCCACGCUGUAAACGAUGUCAACUAGCCGUUG